rnacentral:misc_RNA from 1 species
GAUGAAGAACGUAGCGAAAUGCGAUAAGUAAUGUGAAUUGCAGAAUUCAGUGAAUCAUCGAAUCUUUGAACGCACAUUGCGCCCGCCAGUAUUCUGGCGGGCAUGCCUGUUCGAGCGUCAUUACAACCCUCAGGCCCCCGGGCCUGGCGUUGGGGAUCGGCGGAGCCCCCCGUGGGCACACGCCGUCCCCCAAAUGCAGUGGCGGUCCCGCCGCAGCUUCCAUCGCGUAGUAGCUAACACCUCGCGACUGGAGAGCGGCGCGGCCACGCCGUAAAACACCCAACUCUUCUGAAGUUGACCUCGAAUCAGGUAGGAAUACCCGCUGAACUUAAGCAUAUCAAUAAGCGGAGGU